rnacentral:tRNA from 1 species
GGACGGUUGCCUGAGUGGUUGAAAGGACCGGUCUUGAAAACCGGCAGAGGUUAACGCCUCUCGUGGGUUCGAAUCCCACACCGUCCGCCA